CGCGCCGCGGCCCCCGGCGGCGGAGGGGCUGCCCCGCUUCCUGCCGCCCCCGCGGCCCGCCCCCGCCGUGCGAGAGCGCCGGCCUCGGGAGGGUUCCUCCGGGACGGGGCGGGAGGUUCGCCCCGCGGGAGCCAGCCCCGCGCUUUGCCGCCCCUCUUUGUGCCUCCUCGGUUCUCCUUUACGGUCUGACCGAAGGCAUUUCGCUUUUGAGGCAAAAUUGCCUCAGAAAACUCGGUGGAAACAACUUUACUGUUGCAAACAGUAAAGAAUAAAUUGGUGUCGCCAAUCUCCUCUCAUAAACACGAUUCCAGCUCUAAGGAAGUGAGAGAACGGCCAGGAGGGCUCAGGGCGUUGCAAUUUCAGCUAUUUCCCAUCUCGCUCUUGAACAUCUAGCGUGUGACCAGAGGCUGGUUUUAGAGGGCUAUGCUCACGCGUGAGGAACAGGUAUUUUGAAAAAAGAACUCUAUAUUUCCAGUAUUUCAACAAGAAAACAAAAUAGCUCCUCUGGAGAGGCUGGAUUAGUUGCCCAAGGCAACCAUGAAAGCCUACUUGGGGGGCAGCAAGCACGCAAAGCAUUCUCUGCGUCCUCUCCCCGGCAGUUCUGCGAAGCAGAUGCUGCUUUCCUGACCAGUGGUGUCUGUGCCCACUGCACCGCCAUGGCAGGAACGGCACUUUGGGAGCAGUCCUCCCCAGCCACUGCUCAAAGAGCUGUUUAAAUGACGCUCACCGAUUGCUUUAAGAUUAUGGUUGCUAGUCAAGAGGCUAAAAAUAGAAAGACGGCCAAGUCGAUGCUCAGUGCUUGCUGAGGCUUUUUUUUCACAUAGAAACAUGCAGGGCGUUAUGUAGCAUUCCCUGAUGCAAGUUCACUAAGUUUUGUACUUUUCUCCUGUUGAUACCUUUUUAGCAACACCUCAAUGAAAGCAGUCAAUGAAGGCUAUCUGACAUGAGGCUGUUUUAAGUCAGCUUGUAGGAUGUAACAGUCACUGAAGACAUCCUGCAGCACGUAAUGGAAGAUGGGCUGAAAGUAAUCUAUAUGCACUCUUUUGUCUUCCAUUCAGCAGACGCUGAGGUUCGUACCACAGGUCACGUGAAGCAGUUAUAUCACUGCAAUAACAUCCUUUCUGCACUAUAGAGACCGCAUUCCUAGGGUCACUAAUCAUUAGCGGUAUUUGUUGUGUACUGGAAAAAUCACUCCUUGAAUAAUUUGUGGCUUAAUAGUGCCGUGCAUUAACAGGAACAUCCUACACAUAAAUCAGCAGAGUUCCCUGGUGGACUCGGAAAGGUUUUCCCCCGCAUUAUUUUUUGCUGUGAAGAAUGUGUGUUGUAUUUUCCUAGCUUGAUUCAACUCUUCUAAAGGUUUUUAUUUGCUCAUGUGAAAAGAGCACUGGGGGAGGGCUGAUUUCUACAAGGGGUGUGAGAAUUUGCAGUGAUUCCUAAAGCUGCCAGAGGCUGAAUUUGCUCAAUCUAUCUUACAAGUUUGUCCUGGAGCCACAUUCCCUAACUACAAAUGGCUCAUGUGGAGCCCUAGGAUACAUACUUUGCAAAGGGAACACCAUCCCGAUGGAAGUGGUGACAAACUAUGACAGCUUAUCCACUCUAAAAGCCUUAAAGAUUUAUGGAAUCUACAGAGCCAACGAAUGAGGAAUAUCAUUCCAUUAGCAAUGCAACUGUUUGGAUGGCUUGUCUUAGUACACACUUCUAAUGCAGAAGAAAAAAAGAAGAAGAAUUAGAUAAAUCCAGAUGGUCUCCCUGGCUUUCAGAAUCUUCCUCCUUCUAAGAAGGCUGCAGCACAAAAUGAGUUUAAAUAGACCAUCUGCAGAGUGCUGCACAUUUCAGUCUGUGAGAAUUCCCAGGCAACUCCUCUGGGGGAAGCAGAACUGCAUAUAAAGGCUCCAUUUUGGAUUGUGACUUAAAACUGCCCCUGUCAUCAAAUCAAAACAGAUACAUAACUAAAAUCUUAUGGGAAACAAGUACAGCAUCAUGCAAUAUCAAUACCAUAAGGCAAGUUGCCAACAAAUACUACGAAAGCAGCACAAAUCCUUUUUUCAAGAGGGUAAGAUUGAAGAUCAAACUAAAUUCUUAGCGCCGACAGAAAAAUGUUUAGGCAACCAAGCAUUUCUAUAAUGUUUCUUUCCCCUUACAAGUAACUUCUAGAGGUAAAUGAAGCUAUCUGAUCUCCAUCUGGUUCUCUUCCCCUGAGAGGCUUCUGAUGCUUCUUUCCCACCAUGGUUCUCUAGCUUUUCCAUUCUUUUAUUAUAUUUCAAAAGCUGAAUUCAGCUGGAGGGCAGGGCUGCUAUUCAGAGGGGCCUCCAUGACCUAGAGAAACAGGCUGACCUGACACAAACCUCCUAAACUCCAAGAAAAGCAAGUGCAAGUUCUUGGAUCUGGAAAGGAACUGCCCGUUGCAACUAUAUAUUCUGGAAAAUAUUCACAAGCUGGUCUGUAGAAAAGAAAUUGAGUUCCUAGUGGACAAGCAGCACGUCACAGUGAAGAAAGCCAGUGGCAUUCUGGACUAUAUUAGCAAGAGGUUCAGGGGCCAGCAGAGCCAGGGAAGUGAUCCUUCACCUCUAUCUGGCACUUGCAAGACUGUGUCUGAGUACUGCAUCCAGUUUUGGGCUCCCCUCAGAACAAGAAAAAUACUGACCUACUGGAUGGAGCCAGUUGAAGAAAUCUCCAAGAUAGUCGGGCUGAAGAACAUGAUGCAUACAAUUGGCUUGAAAGAAGUGAACAUCUUCAGCUUGGAGCAGAGAAGGAGGAGGGGAGAUCUUGUUGCUGUCUGAUAACUACGUGCCCCCAGGACAGGACUGGAAGGUGCAGUUGGCCUGUUCUCAGGAGUGCACGGUGAUAGCAACAGACACAAGCUGCAACAAGGAAAAUUCCAUAUCCAGAUGGAAGAGGAAAAAAUACCAUGAGAGCGGUCAAACACUGGAACAGGUUGUCUGGAGAAGUUGUAGAAUCUCUGCAGGAGUUCAUGUGCAUUGGAUCAAUGCCAAGUCCUACUAAAACCCUUCAAUUAAAAACAGAAAAAUGUUGAAGAGAAGUUGUGUCUUGUAAAAUGUCGUCAGAGCAUAGGCUGGCCCAUUCUCAGGAUUCUGGGAUGUGAUCUUCCAGUGCUUAAAGGGAGCUUAUAAACAGGAGGGUGACCGAUUUUUUAUAUUGUCUGAUAGUAGUGUGUCACAGUCUGUCAAGGGGGGAUGAUUUUAAACUAAAAAAGAGGGGAUUUAGAUUAGAUAUUAGGAGGAAAUUAUUUAUUCAGAGGGUGGUGAGGCACUGGCACAGCUGU